rnacentral:lncRNA from 1 species
CGCAAGGCAGGUGCUUGUCACUGUGGUGUUAGCGGAAGGGGGUGGUGAUACUUUGGAGGACUAGGUUCUGGUCGAGGAGAAGAAAGUGUGCAUUCAUUCUUCACGUUGCCAGGAUGGUGUGUUCCUUUCCUUUUCUGUAGAGAAGCUGAAGUUUAGGAAUCCUUCAGUGCCAACUGGUGUUUGAAAGUAGAGGCCUUAAAGGUUUGCCUAGAGAACCAGCAGUUUCAGAGUUAACUUUAGAUGUUUUGCAACGGAAGGUUUUUAAACACUAAAAUAUAUAAUUUAUAGUUAAGGCUAAAAAAGAAUAUUUAUUGCAGAGGGUGUUUGUAAGGCCAGUAUGAUUUAUAAAGUAAUGCAAUCUCCCCUUGAUUUGGGACAGGCUGCGGUUCCGUUUUCUUUGUUCGCUGCUACCGAUGACUUCCCAGAACAGUCUGGAAACAUCCACGUUGCUUCUCUUUAUCUUUCACAUUGUUUUGCUGCUAUUGGAGGAUCAGAUUUUUUUUGGUUUGUUUUACAAUGUCAUAUACUAGCCAUGUUCUAGUUUG